rnacentral:rRNA from 1 species
GAUGAACGCUGGCGGCGUGCCUAAUACAUGCAAGUCGAGCGAACAGACGAGGAGAUUGCUCCUCUGACGAUAGCGGCGGACGGGUGAGUAACACGUGGAUACCAUACCUAUAAGACUGGGAUAACUUCGGGAAACCGGAGCUAAUACAGGAUAAUAUAUUGAACCGCAUGGUUCAAUAGUAAAAGACGGUUUUGCUGUCACUUAUAGAUGGAUCCGCGCCGCAUUAGCUAGUUGGUAAGGUAACGGCUUACCAAGGCAACGAUGCGUAGCCGACCUGAGAGGGUGAUCGGCCACACUGGAACGGAGACACGGGCCAGACUCCUACGGGAGGCAGCAGUAGGGAAUCUUCCGCAAUGGGCGAAAGCUUGACGGAGCAACGCCGCGUGAGUGAGGAAGGUCUUCGGAUCGUAAAACUCGGUUAUUAGGGAAGAACAAAUGUGUAAGUAACUAUGCACGUCUUGACGGUACCUAAUCAGAAAGCCACGGCUAACUACGUG